ensembl:snoRNA small nucleolar RNA SNORD49
UGCUCUGAUGAAAUCACCCAUAGGAAGUGCCGUCAGAAGCAAUAACUGAUGAUAAUUCCUGGCUGACU